UAGUCCACGCCGUAAACGAUGGGUACUAGUUGUCGCGGGUUUAACCCUUGCGGUGACACAGCUAACGCGUUAAGUACCCCGCCUGGGGAGUACGGUCGCAAGACUAAAACUCAAAGGAAUUGACGGGGGCCCGCACAAGCGGUGGAUCAUGUGGUUUAAUUCGAAGCAACGCGAAAAACCUUACCUGGACUUGAAAUCCUACGAACUAAGCAGAGAUGCUAAGGUGCUCUUCGGAGAACGUAGUGACAGGUGCUGCAUGGCUGUCGUCAGCUCGUGUUGUGAAAUGUUGGGUUAAGUCUGGCAACGAGCGCAACCCACAUCUUUAGUUGCCAGCAGGUUAAGCUGGGCACUCUAAAGAAACUGCCCGUGAUAAGCGGGAGGAAGGUGUGGAUGACGUCAAGUCCUCAUGGCCCUUACGGGUUGGGCUACACACGUGCUACAAUGGCAUCUACAGUGAGUUAAUCUCCAAAAGAUGUCUCAGUUCGGAUUGGGGUCUGCAACUCGACCCCAUGAAGUCGG
rnacentral:rRNA from 1 species